rnacentral:lncRNA from 1 species
GUACCAAUACCAUGCAGUUUUUAUCACUAUUGCUCUGCAAUACUGCUUGAGUUCAGGGAUAGUGAUUCCCCCUGAAGUCCUCUUAUUUUUGAGAAUAGUUUUAGCUAUCCUGGGCUUUUUGUUAUUCCAGAUGAAUUUGCAAAUUGUUUUGUCUAGCUCUUUGAAGAAUUGGAUUGGUAUUUUGAUGGGGAUUGCAUUGAAUCUGUAGAUAGCUUUUGGUAAAAUGGCCAUUUUUACUACAUUAAUC